rnacentral:lncRNA from 1 species
AUGCCUCCUCCUGAGAGGCCUGGGACUCCUUGUUCUUCUGCUUCCAAUCGGCAAAGGCCUUGUCAGAGUGCUGCAGUUUCUGAUCCAGUGCAGCUGCUGCUGAGCGGGCCUUCCCAAGGUCAGACAGGGUGGCCCCAACUUCAAGCUGCAGCUGGUGCCUGGCCCUCUCCAGGGAGGCAAUGGCCAGAGUGGCUUUUCAGCAGUCUCCUGCAACCUAAUGGCCAGCUUCUUCCUGAGAAGGGCAGACCCAAAGGGUCAUCGAUUUCUUUCUUCAAUUCAAAACAUUCAUCUUCGAGUUUCCGUCCCCCUGGCAGUCAGCUCAGAAUUUAUCUCCUUCCUCCACUGGGGUAGACAGCUCCUUGACUCUGGCCUCCAGCUGAAUCUUGGAUUUAAUCAGCGACGCGCACUGCUCUUCAACAUUUGCCAGAGUCUCUCGCUCCUGCCAUGAUGAGAAGAAAAUUGUUGCCAACAGCUGGAAGUAAUUUAUCAGCUAGGCGAAAAUGCUGCUUAACACAUAGCAAAGAGAUAAUUGCCGGCCCUCUGCCCAGUACUUUCACCUUCUUUUCCUAGGCAGCUGAAAUAAUAUUCCCAGGUCCCUGAUCCUAUAGUUGAGAUGUGGAGGAGUUGCUUGUGUUUGAAGGAGCUUUUCAUCUUUCAGGCCCAUUUGGUAGAUUAAAUGACCUCUUCUAAAGCACUUAAUAGAAUUCUGGUGGCCUAAAGGCGCUAACAUGCCUCCAACAAUCAGUCACGUGCUGCUUAAAUUACAGCUUCUAAAAACAUCCAUAUGGGUGUAUGCUUUGAGACUGAUACGUGUUCAGAAUAUGGUCUUUUAAGGAAGUAGUGCUCCCUUAGACAGUAAAAUGUUUAGAACAUUAUUAUAAGUACCCUCAUGCACUUGUAUAAUAUAUGUCUUUUACUAAUCAAUUGAGCUGAAGCUUAGCUGAAUAAUGUUUACACACAGGCUGAAUUUAGAAUUCAUACAAUUUCUUGUAAGUCACUAGAUUUCAUUUCUAUUUCCAUAUAAAUUUUUGUCUUAAAAAUUGUACCAGCAGUAAAUUCCACAAGCUAUACAGAGUACAAUAUACUUUCUUUUAUUCUUUAGCAUGUACUGCCUCCAAAUCUUACUGAGUAAAUAUUGUUCCUAUGUUAUAGGUCAAAGAAAAAAUGAAGGAGCUAUUCAUUAGGGUGUAUCUUUCAUAACUUUGAACCUCUCCCUCUGUAAGCUCUUAAAAGCUCCUUGUUAUCAAGGUCUCAUUGCAAUGUAAAUUCACAUCUUCAUCUUCCAUCUCUUCAUCUCUUCCAUCCUCCACAAUAUGCCAUGCUGGGAAAUUUGUUAACUAUCCUUUUGAAUUGCUUAAAUUGUGUCAACUAAUUAAAUCAAGAGCAGGAAAAGAGUAGGUAAAAAUCUAGCUUAUUAUUCCUGAGGUAACUCCUAUCUAGAGAAUGUCUUCCUCCCUGACAGAAAAGCAUUAAAAAGGGAUGGAAUAAUCAGUUAUCAAUUUGAAGAUCCAAAAGAAAGGACCUAAAUUUUAAAAAAAGUCAAGAUACACAGAAACUUUGAUUAUUAAAGUUAAAAUAUGGAUCAGAAAUGUGGGCUUUAUGGCCUUUUGCAACAUUGACAAUAGUACACCUCCAAUUAAAAGUCUAAAAGUAUUGCAUUUUCUCUGUUUGCAGUAGGUUUUUUCUCAGUUUUUGGUAAAUUUAAAAAGCAUGAAAAAGGGUUCAAAUGAUUGUAUUCAAACCCAGUAUUUUUCAACUUAACAGUGUGCUAAGUUAAUGGAAAGUAUAAUAAAGGUGGGUAAGAUUUAAUGCCUCUGGGAAUUUGCAGAUCACAGUACCAUAGUCCAGGUGGCUGAAGAGAAGAAAUGUGAAAGGAGUACCGUAAUGACAUGAAGGCAUCAGACUGGAGAGAGGGUUGAGUAUCAGGACCGGGUGUUUGGAGUAUAAACGACAAAGCAGGAUCUGAAGAUGUCUAACUGGUAAGCAGUAAGAUUUUUUUCAAGCCAAUGGUUCUUAAUCAUAAUUAGAUAUCAGAAUUACCCAUGUAAAUCCUUGGGACUUCAAAGGGCUUAAUACCCAAGAAUGGAGUCUAAGGCAACUUUCUCUUUAUUUUUAAAGCUUGACAAAUAGAUUUGAUACAAAGAUAAAAUUUAGAUAUAC